rnacentral:rRNA from 1 species
GGUUAAAACGCUCGUAGUUGGAUAUCUGUCAGCGCACGGUGCUCCGCCCAAGCGGUGUGUAGUCAUUAGUGUGCUGGCAUCAUCCUGGGGAGUGCAUCUGCACUUCACUGUGUGGGGUACGAGCCAGGACAUUUACUUUGAGGAAAUGAGAGUGUUUCAAGCAGGCGUCCGCCAUGAAUACGUUAGCAUGGAAUAAUAGUAUCGGACCUCGUCCCAAAGCUGUUGGUUUCUUGGGUCGAGGUAAAGGUGAAUAGGGAUUGUUGGGGGCAUUCGUAUUUAACUGUCAGAGGUGAAAUUCUUGGAUUUGUUGAAGACGCACUACUGCGAAAGCAUCUGCCAAAGAUGUUUUCAUUGAUCAAGAACGAAAGUUAGGUGAUCGAAGACGAUCAGAUACCGUCCUAGUCUUAACCAUAAACUAUGCCGACUGGAGAUGGGGGGUCGUUACUGUUAUGACGCCUUCUGCAUCUUGAGAGAAAUCAAAGUCUUUGGGUUCCGGGGGGAGUAUGGUCGCAAGGCUGAAACUUAAAGGAAUUGACGGAAGGGCACCACCAGGAGUGGAGCCUGCGGCUUAAUUUGACUCAACACGGGGAAACUUACCAGGUCCAGACAUAGAGAGGAUUGACAGACUGAUAGCUCUUUCGAGAUUCUAUGGGUGGUG